rnacentral:rRNA from 1 species
GUUAAUGUGGUGCGUGAUGCGAGGGGAGUAGGUAGGGGGUUGGCGUGGGCCGGAUUUGUUGGGCGGAAAGAGCGUGUAGGGGGCUAGGUAGGUCAGUGUUGAAAACUGGAGGCUCAACCUCGGGACGUCGAUGGAAACCAUCUAGCUAGAGUCCGGAAGAGGAGAGUGGAAUUCCUGGUGUAGCGGUGAAAUGCGCAGAUAUCAGGAAGAACACCCGUGGCGAAGGCGGCUCUCUGGGACGUGACUGACGCUGAGACGCGAAAGCGUGGGGAGCGAACAGGAUUAGAUACCCGAGUAGUC